GAAAGAAGUAAACUCUGUAAUUGGAGCACCUCUAAAUGAAAACUGUAUAUAUCAUACAGCAAAGUGGGGAAGAAGCAAUGUAAUUCACAAGUGUAUAGGUUUUCAUCGAUAUGAAUUCACAACUUACUGUCUAUCUAUCUGCUGAAUUAACUGGAACAAUAGCAGGCUCCCCUGGUAAAGGCUCGUCGAGAUGGAGUUCGGCGAAGCUAUUGAUGAUCCCUGUUCUUUCACGGUAUAUACUCUCCUUUUU
rnacentral:misc_RNA from 1 species